rfam:Trichomalopsis sarcophagae strain Alberta scaffold442, whole genome shotgun sequence.
UAAUCGGCCCUUUUUAGGGCCACAAAUAUUUUUAAACGAGGAAUUU